rnacentral:rRNA from 1 species
GACGAACGCUGGCGGCGUGCUUAACACAUGCCAGUCGAACGGAAAGGCCCUGCUUUUGUGGGGUGCUCGAGUGGCGAACGGGUGAGUAACACGUGAGUAACCUGCCCUUGACUUUGGGAUAACUUCAGGAAACUGGGGCUAAUACCGGAUAGGAGCUCCUGCUGCAUGGUGGGGGUUGGAAAGUUUCGGCGGUUGGGGAUGGACUCGCGGCUUAUCAGCUUGUUGGUGGGGUAGUGGCUUACCAAGGCUUUGACGGGUAGCCGGCCUGAGAGGGUGACCGGCCACAUUGGGACUGAGGAACGGCCCAGACUCCUACGGGAGGCAGCAGUAGGGAAUAUUGCAAAAUGGGCAGAAGCCUGAUGCAGCAACGCCGCGUGCGGGAUGACGGCCUUCGGGUUGUAAACCGCUUUCGCCUGUGACGAAGCGUGAGUGACGGUAAUGGGUAAAGAAGCACCGGCUAACUACGUG